rnacentral:rRNA from 1 species
UACGUAGGGUGCAGGCGUUAAUCGGAAUUACUGGGCGUAAAGCGUGCGCAGGCGGUCUAUUAAGACAGGUGUGAAAUCCCCGGGCUUAACCUGGGAACUGCGCUUGUAACUGAUAGGCUUGAGUGUGGCAGAGGGGGGUGGAAUUCCACGUGUAGCAGUGAAAUGCGUAGAGAUGUGGAGGAACACCGAUGGCGAAGGCAGCCCCCUGGGCUAACACUGACGCUCAUGCACGAAAGCGUGGGGAGCAAACAGGAUUAGAAACCCCCGUAGUCC